rnacentral:rRNA from 1 species
GACGAACGCUGGCGGCGCGCUUAACACAUGCAAGUCGAGCGAAGCGGUGGACGGGUGAGUAACACGUGAGUAACUUGCCUUAGACAUUGGGAUAGCCUCGGGAAACCGGGAUUAAUACCAAAUGGUCGAAGAUGGACUCGCGUCCCAUUAGCUAGUUGGGAGGUAACGGCCCACCAAGGCGACAAUGGGUAGCCGGCCUGAGAGGGUGAACGGCCACAUUGGAACUGAGAAACGGUCCAAACUCUGCGGGAGGCAGGAGUGGGGGAGAUUGCAAAAUGGAGGGAACUCUGAUGCAGCGACGCCGCGUGAACAAAGAAGGCUUUCGAGUCGUGAAGUUCUGUUAUAUGGGAAGCGGUACCAUAAGAAAAAGCCCCGGCUAACUACGUGCCAGCAGCCGCGGUAAUUC